AUAGAGUCUGAUUCAGCCCCUCUUACUGCAGCCCUGAAUCAGGAUGUUUUCCCCAGGCGUGGAGGGAAUGCUAAAGCCGGCUGUCCUGAGAGCUGAGGCAGACAACCCAGCCAGAAGGGUGGGAACGGGGUGUGUGGGAGGGAGGGGUGCAGAUCUCAUAGCACCCUCAGGCCGGGGUCUCCCACCUCUCCAAGGACAACCCUAAGACUUUCUGUUUCCUGACCUCUCUCCUACCCCCUCCCCCACCCUCAUUUCUUCCCCAGGCCUUGAGGAAUCCUACACAGGUGAGAGGUUAAUUAGUCCAAUCCAGUCACAGGUGGGGAAAUUGAGGCACAGGGAGGAGAUAGAACCUGAUUAAUAACCUAGAUUCCGAGCUAAAAUCUAGGGCACCUGCUCCUGUCUUCACCACAGGAUUCUCUCCUUCUACUCUGCCUCGAUUUCCACCCCUUCAUUCAACAUGGUAAAAGGAGCAGGAGAGGAGUCUGGGAAUCUCAUCUAGAAGGCUGGAGCCCCUUUCCCGGCCCCCGAGUCCUUCCUCUCGAGGUGUUCGAGGAGGCUGCCUCAGCAGCAUCCACCGGGGAUGCCCGCUUCUCCCCAAGCUGCUCUGCGGGGCAGGAGCUUGGGACACGUUUAUGUAAUCCGCAGCUGCUUAAGCUGCCCCCUGGAAACCCAAACCAGCCUCUUCCUCCUCCAUCUCAAGAUUAUUGCCAGAAGAUUAAGGCCUGCUCCCUCCUGCUGCCUUCUGUCUCCUGCGGGCAGCGGAGAAAAGGAGGCUGGAGUUCACCUGUGCGCUUUGUCAGAGCCUCAGUUCUUUCGUCUGGAAAAUGGGGUCACACAUCAGCAUCCCGUGGGAGCUCCGGCUCGCUGUGUUGUUCAGAGCAACUCAAUUAACCUCUCUGCGCCUUAAUUGCCUCGUCCCCAAAGUGAAGGUGUUGGAAGUAGAUGGGCAGGAGCUCAGAGAGUAUCGGAAUCCUCUCUCCAGAAUCCCUGACAAAGGCCAUCCAGCUAAGGGCCUCCAGUGCCUGGGAGCUCACUCCCUGAGAAGUGAGACAGCUCACCCUGGACCAGGGUUUCUCCUUAAAAAUAAAUUUGAUUUGGCCACUCUCUUGU
rnacentral:lncRNA from 1 species